UUUUGUGAGUUGUGAGCAGCGGUAAAACUUGUGCUUAUAAUAAUCCGCUUUUUGGCACUGUCGGUCCCUGAGGCUGGGAGGCUAGUUAGCUUCGAGUAUUGGUGGUGGUAUAAUCGCGUGGAGUGCAGUGCUGCUUGGAUUCACCUUUCACAGAGUGUGUGUGUCUGUGUGUGUGUGUGUGGGAUGCACGAGUGCGCCAUUAGGAUCCUCACUUCGUCUAGCCUGCCCUUGCCGUUGGAAAGCCUGUGCUGUAUCUUUUUUUUUCUUUUGUUUCUUUGAGUAUUCUAAAUGUCUUUAUUUGUCGGAAACAGAGCUCCCUUUUUGUGACCAUGUGAUAUUGAAUUGAUACUGAUUGAUCUUGAGACUUUUAACUAUUUAUUGUGGAUAUCUAAAAUAAAGUUCUGUACAUUGUU